rnacentral:rRNA from 1 species
GCUUAACACAUGCAAGUCGAGGGGCAGCAUGGUCUUAUGCUUGCUAAGACUGAUGGCGACCGGCGCACGGGUGAGUAACACGUAUCCAACCUGCCGUCUACUCUUGGACGGCCUUCUGAAAGGAAGAUUAAUACAAGAUGGCAUCAUGAGUCCGCAUGUUCACAUGAUUAAAGGUAUUCCGGUAGAGGAUGGGGAUGCCUUCCAUUAAAUAGUAGGCGGGGGAACGGCCCACCUACUCUUCCAUGGAUAGGGGUUCUAAGAGGAAGGUCCCCCACAUUGUAACUGAGACACGCGUCCAACACUCCUACGGGAGGCAGCAGUGAGGAAUAUUGGUCCAUGGGCGAGAGACCUGAACCACCCCAGCACCGUGAAAGAUGACUGCCCUAUGGGUUGUACACUCUCUUUUAUAAAGGAAUAAAGUGGGGGAUGUAUACCCGUUUGCCUGUACUAUAUGAAUAAAGAUUGGCUAACUCCGUGCCAGCAGCGCGGGUAAUACGGAGGAUCCGAGCGUUAUUCCAGAUUUAUUGGGUUUAAAGGGAGCGUAGAUGGAUGUUUAAGUCAGUUGUGAAAGUUUGCGGCUCAACCGUAAAAUUGCAGUUGAUACUGGAUAUCUUGAGUGCAGUUGAGGCAGGCGGAAUUCGUGGUGUAGCGGUGAAAUGCUUAGAUAUCACGAGGAACUCCGAUUGCGAAGGCAGCNUGCUAAGCUGCAACUGACAUUGAGGCUCGAAAGUGUGGGUAUCAAACAGGAUUAGAUACCCUGGUAGUCCACACGGUAAACGAUGAAUACUCGCUGUUUGCGAUAUACUGCAAGCGGCCAAGCGAAAGCGUUAAGUAUUCCACCUGGGGAGUACGCCGGCAACGGUGAAACUCAAAGGAAUUGACGGGGGCCCGCACAAGCGGAGGAACAUGUGGUUUAAUUCGAUGAUACGCGAGGAACCUUACCCGGGCUUAAAUUGCAGAUGAAUUACGGUGAAAGCCGUAAGCCGCAAGGCAUCUGUGAAGGUGCUGCAUGGUUGUCGUCAGCUCGUGCCGUGAGGUGUCGGCUUAAGUGCCAUAACGAGCGCAACCCUUGUUGUCAGUUACUAACAGGUUCCGCUGAGGACUCUGACAAGACUGCCAUCGUAAGAUGUGAGGAAGGUGGGGAUGACGUCAAAUCAGCACGGCCCUUACGUCCGGGGCUACACACGUGUUACAAUGGGGGGUACAGAGGGCCGCUACCACGCGAGUGGAUGCCAAUCCCCAAAACCUCUCUCAGUUCGGACUGGAGUCUGCAACCCGACUCCACGAAGCUGGAUUCGCUAGUAAUCGCGCAUCAGCCACGGCGCGGUGAAUACGUUCCCGGGCCUUGUACACACCGCCCGUCAAGCCAUGGGAGCCGGGGGUACCUGAAGUGCGUAACCGCGAGGAGCGCCCUAGGGUAAAACUGGUGACUGGGGCUAAG